rnacentral:misc_RNA from 1 species
UCGGUGCUUGGGCUCUCGCUCUGCGAUCCCUCACCCCAACCCUUUGUCUACCUACCCUAUUCUUCGGCGAGUGUGUGCCGUUUAUUAGUGGGGAGGCCCCGUUUUGUGCGGUGCUAACCUCCUAACUAGCGGUGCCUCGCCGGCGUCCAAAAAACCUGCCUUUAACGGUGAAGUCUGAGCUUUUUGCAAAAUAAAAGUUA